UACGUAGGGCGCAAGCGUUGUCCGGAAUUAUUGGGCGUAAAGAGCUCGUAGGCGGUUUGUCGCGUCUGCUGUGAAAACCUCAGGCUCAACCUGGGGCUUGCAGUGGGUACGGGGCAGACUAGAGUGCGGUAGGGGGUGACUGGAAUUCCUGGUGUAGCGGUGGAAUGCGCAGAUAUCAGGAGGAACACCGAUGGCGAAGGCAGGUCACUGGGCCGCAACUGACGCUGGAGGAGCGGAAAAGCAUGGGGAGCGAACAGG
rnacentral:rRNA from 1 species